AGCCCCCCCCCCCCGGGGCAGCGGAUGGAUGUGGGGCUGUGAGCCCCCACCGUGUUCCCCACGGCGCCGCUGUGUGGCAGGGGAGGAGGCGGCGCUGGCGCAGGAGAGGCUGGAAUGGCUGCGGAUGCGGUACCUGAUCGCGGCGCAGAGCAGCGCCGACACGGAGCAACGCAUGGCGCAGGCCAUGGACGCUUCGUCCCGCGUUGGAGCCGCGCAGGAGGACCUGCAGCUCUGGUUGGGCCGCGUGGAGAUGGAGCUGAAGGCGUGGGAUGGGAGGGAGCCGCCGUGCAGCGACCGGGACAAGCUGCAGCAGUUCCUGCGUUCGGAGCUGGAGCGCUUGGCGGGGCUGCAGGAGCGGCUGGAUGCAGCGGGCAGCGUGCAGCUGGAUGUGCAGGCGUUGGAUGCGCAGCUGGCUGAGCACAAGCUGCUCUCAGCUGAGAUCCUGCACCACCGCAGCUCGGUGGAGCGGCUGCUGGGCGUCGCAGAGCCGAUGCUGCGCUGCAGCCCGCAAUCGACGCAGCAACACGCAGAGCCCUCGGUGCAGGCACUGCAGGAGCAGGCAGAGCAGCUGUGGCGGCGCAGCGCGGCGCGUUCGGUGCAGCUGGAGCAGGCGCAGGCGCUGCUGGCGCAGUUCUGCCAGGCGCAGGCGGAGCUGCAGCCCUGGUUGGAGGAGACGCAGGCGGCCGCAGCGCAGCUCUGCACCGACGCCAGCAGCUGCGAGGCGUUCCGGGAGCAGCAGGCGCUGCUGCAGUGCCUGCGCGAAGCCGUCGCCGAGCACCGCCCCCUGGUGGCCAAGCUGCAACGCGCAGCCGUGCAGCUGCAGGAGCUCAACGCCGAGCAGGCGGCGCCGCUGCAACAGAGCUGCAAGGAUGCACAGGAGCUCUACAACCGCAUCCGAGAGCGCAUGCAGACGGCGGCCGCCAUGCUGGAGGAGGCGCUGCCGCGGUACGGGCAGCUGAGCGAGCGCAUGGAUCUGCUGCACGAGUGCCUGGAGCGGCUGCAGGGGAGGCUGCGGGGCUGCCCUCCUUUGCAUGGCGACGCGGCGCAGCUGCGGGAGAGGCUGCGGGGAGAACGGCGUGGCGCUGGCGGAGCUGCGGCAGAUGGGGGCUGCGCUGCAGGCGGUGCGGGCGCAAUGCGACGAGCUGCAGGGCGGCAUGCGGGCGGGAGGCUGCGGCGCUGCGGCUACAGCGCUGCAGGACCGUGCUGCGCAGCUGCAUUCGCAGUGGGGCUCCCUGCAAAGCGAGGCGGAGGCGGCGCAGCAGCGGCUGCAGGAGCUGCAGGCGUUGGCAGAGCGAUUCUGGAGCGGAGCUGCGGAGCUGGGGCUCACAUUGGCCGAGACGCAGCGGCUGCUGCUGCGCAUGGAGGGCGAGGGGGGGGAACCCGAAGGCAUCAGCGCCAGGCUGCAGUCCGUGCAGGUAGGUGGGAGGUGCAGGGAGGUCCCUGCAGGGGUGCAGGGUGAUCCAUGCAGGUGUGCAAUAGGAUCCGUGCAGGUGUGCAAUAGGAUCCGGGCAGGUGUGCAAUAGGAUCCAUGCAGGUGUGCAUAGCAUGCAAUGUGAUCCAUGCAGGUGUGCAAUGUGAUCCGUGCAGGUGUGCAAUAGGAUCUGUGCAGGUGUGCAUAGCAUGCAAUGUGAUCCAUGCAGGUGUGCAAUAGGAUCCAUGCAGUUGUGCAAUGUGAUCCAUGCAGGUGUGCAUAACAUGCAGUGUGAUCAAUGCAGGGGUGCAUAGCAUGCAGUGUGAUCCAUGCAGGUGUGCAGUGUGAUCCAUGCAGGUGUGCAAUAGGAUCCGUGCAGGUGUGCAAUAGGAUCCGUGCAGGUGUGCAUAGCAUGCAGUGUGAUCCAUGCAGGUGUGCAGUGCAAUCCAUGCAGGGGUGCAAUAGGAUCCGGGCAGGUGUGCAUAGCGUGCAUUGUGAUCCAGGCAGGUGUGCAAUAGGGUCCGUGCAGGUGUGCAAUAGGAUCCAUGCAGGUGUGCAAUAGGAUCCAUGCAGGUGUGCAAUAGGAUCUGUGCAGGUGUGCAAUAGGAUCCGUGCAGGUGUGCAAUAGGAUCCGUGCAGGUGUGCAUAGCAUGCAGUGUGAUCCAUGCAGGUGUGCAGUGCAAUCCAUGCAGGGGUGCAAUAGGAUCCGGGCAGGUGUGCAUAGCGUGCAUUGUGAUCCAGGCAGGUGUGCAAUAGGGUCCGUGCAGGUGUGCAAUAGGAUCUGUGCAGGUGUGCAAUAGGAUCCGUGCAGGUGUGCAAUAGGAUCCAUGCAGGUGUGCAAUAGGAUCCAUGCAGGUGUGCAAUAGGAUCUGUGCAGGUGUGCAAUAGGAUCCGUGCAAGGGUGCAAUAGGAUCCAGGCAGGUGUGCAAUGUGAUCCAUGCAGGUGUGCAAUAGGAUCCGUGCAGGUGUGCAUAGCAUGCAGGGUGAUCCAUGCAGGUGUGCAAUAGGAUCCAUGCAGGGGUGCAAUAGGAUCCAUGCAGGGGUGCAAUAGGAUCCGGGCAGGGGUGCAUAGCAUGCAGUGUGAUCCAUGCAGGUUUGCAUAGCAUGCAGUGUGAUCCAUGCAGGUGUGCAAUAGGAUCCGUGCAG